GACGAACGCUGGCGGCGUGCCUAAUACAUGCAAGUCGAACGAAGCUGUUUUAACUGGUGCUUGCACCGACUUAAACAACUGAGUGGCGAACGGGUGAGUAACACGUGGGUAACCUGCCCCAAAGCGGGGGAUAACAUUCGGAAACAGAUGCUAAUACCGCAUAACCACAGAAACCACAUGGUUUCUGUGUCAAAGAUGGUUUCGGCUAUCACUUUGGGAUGGACCCGCGGCGUAUUAGCUAGUUGGUAAGGUAAUGGCUUACCAAGGCAAUGAUACGUAGCCGAACUGAGAGGUUGAUCGGCCACAUUGGGACUGAGACACGGCCCAAACUCCUACGGGAGGCAGCAGUAGGGAAUCUUCCACAAUGGACGAAAGUCUGAUGGAGCAACGCCGCGUGAGUGAAGAAGGUUUUCGGAUCGUAAAACUCUGUUGUCAGAGAAGAACGUGUGCGAGAGUAACUGUUCGUGCAGUGACGGUAUCUGGCCAGAAAGCCACGGCUAACUACGUGCAGCCGCCGCAGUAA
rnacentral:rRNA from 1 species